rnacentral:rRNA from 1 species
GGCUGUAACUAUAACGGUCCCAAGGUAGCGAAGUUCCUUGCCACUUCAAUGGUGGCCUGCACGAAUCAUACAACGACCCGAUAGCUGUCUUCAGCGCCGUCUGUGGAGAGCUCAAUGCCUGUGAAGAUGCCAGUAGUCCUGUUCUGGGACAAUGAGACCCUUGAAGCUUGCCGUGACCCGACCACCACCCCUUCGAUCAACGUUCCACAACUGGGCUUGGAACACCCAGACUUCGUGUCAGAAGACCUGCCGCUGGUUCGUCCAGUGGUGGUGUGACCUUCUGUGCGAUGACUCACGCAGGCCACCAACUGGUUGGUGUUGUUGGCCUCUUGCUCUUCACCGUGCACAUCUCAGCGCUUGACUGGGGCCUUGGCCUCCAGUUCUUGAACGGCGGUGUGCAUGUUGAGCGAGCAUCUUGCCUGGGCAAGUGAACGGCGUCCUUCGCUUCGGUGAAGUGCCACUUGCCUGAGCGAGCCAAGUGAGCGGGCUGCGGUCUCUCACUUCGGGUCCAGGGUAGUAGAGCCUGGCCCAGGCUGGACAGCACUUCGGUGCUCCAGCCCAUACACGGUCCUAGUGACCUUCCACACGAACCCAACGACUCUCAGUUACUCCAGGGAUAACAGGCUGAUCAUGCGUUCAAGCUCUUAUUCAGCGCAUGGCUUGGCACCUCGAUGUCGGCUAC